rnacentral:rRNA from 1 species
AGGUUAAGCUACAAAGAGCACACGGAGGAUGCCUAGGCGCCAGGAGCCGACGAAGGACGUGGCGAACAACGAUAAAGCCUCGGGGAGCUGUAAGCAAGCUUUGAUCCGGGGAUGUCCGAAUGGGGAAACCCGGCUGUCUUCAUCGACAGUCACUUUCUGCUGAAUACAUAGGCAGAAGAGAGGCAGACCAGGGGAACUGAAACAUCUAAGUACCCUGAGGAAGAGAAAACAAUAGUGAUUCCGUCAGUAGCGGCGAGCGAACGCGGAUUAGCCCAAACCAAGGAGCUUGCUCCUUGGGGUUGUGGGACGUCUC